UACGUAUGGGGCAAGCGUUAUCCGGAUUCAUUGGGCGUAAAGAGCGCGUAGGCGGCUUGUUAAGUUAGAUGUGAAAUCCGGGGGCUUAACCCGCGGUCUGCAUCUAAAACUGGCAGGCUUGAGUCUGGUAGAGGAAAGUGGAAUUCCCAGUGUAGCGGUGAAAUGCGCAGAUAUUGGGAGGAACACCAGUGGCGAAGGCGGCUUUCUGGGCCACGACUGACGCUGAGGCGCGAAAGCUAGGGGAGCAAACAGG
rnacentral:rRNA from 1 species